UAGGAUUGCAGCUUGACUACAACUGUGGAGACCGCUUUAUAUCAAACCUUAAGCUGCUGGGGCUCAAAGGAAAAUAUCGAUCCAUUAUGUGCUAUUAAGAACAUCUCAAAUACUUUGUUGAAUGAUUCAAGAUGUCCACAAGGCAGUCAAGCAAGGGACCAAUCAACCAUGAAUUCUUUGGAUCUGCCGUUGCUGGGAGCAGCAAUCCUACAAAGGGGCACCGGUUACAUACAAGCUAACCUCUGUCCGAACAGGCCGCUCUAAGUGAAGGCACUUCAACCGGUCCCAGCUCAACAAUGAGGUUUGCAACCAGUUCCAGUCGAGACUGCGA